GUUUUGUUGAUAUUGGUGUCAGAUCAUGAGAUACCCAGGUCAGGCGACACAUGAGAGAAUUUGCCGUGCUUUUUCUUCUACUCCAUUGGAUUACACCACUUGGUUUUCACAUGUAUCUACAGAAUGUCAGCGUUAAGCUAUCUCAGCACAACGCAUGGACAUGAGGAAAGCUUUGUCGACGCCAAUAGCCACACACUACCUCAUUGAC